UGGGGAAUCUUGCACAAUGGGGGCAACCCUGAUGCAGCGACGCCGCGUGAGCGAUGAAGCCCUUCGGGGCGUAAAGCUCUUUCGGCCGGAACGAUAAUGACGGUACCGGAAGAAGAAGCUGCGGCUAACUACGUGCCAGCAGCCGCGGUAAUACGUAGGCAGCAAGCGUUGUUCGGAGUUACUGGGCGUAAAGAGUGCGUAGGCGGUUUCCUAAGUUUGGUGUGAAAUCUCCCGGCUUAACUGGGAGGGUGCGCCGAAGACUGGGGAGCUAGAGGAUGGGAAAGGCAAGCGGAAUUCCUGGUGUAGCGGUGAAAUGCGUAGAUAUCAGGAGGAACACCGGCGGUGUAGACGGCUUGCUAGACCACCCCUGACGCUGAGGCACGAAAGCGUGGGUAGCAAACA
rnacentral:rRNA from 2 species